rnacentral:rRNA from 1 species
UACGUAGGGGGCAAGCGUUACCCGGAUUUACUGGGUGUAAAGGGAGCGUAGACGGCGAUGCAAGCCAGAUGUGAAAGCCCGGGGCUCAACCCCGGGACUGCAUUUGGAACUGUAUAGCUAGAGUGUCGGAGAGGCAGGCGGAAUUCCUAGUGUAGCGGUGAAAUGCGUAGAUAUUAGGGGGAACACCAGUGGCGAAGGCGGCCUGCUGGACGAUGACUGACGUUGAGGCUCGAAAGCGUGGGGAGCAAACAGG